GAACUACUCCCUCCGUCCUAAAAUUCUUUUCGUAGGUUUGUCUAGAUAUGAAUAUUAUCUAGUCAUGCUUUAGUAUUUAGAUACAACCAUUUCUAAACAAAUCUAAGACAAGAAUUUUUAAGAUGAAGGGAGUACAAA
rnacentral:pre_miRNA from 1 species